UUUUUUAUUGUCUAGGUUAUGUUGUCGGUAUGUCGGUUCAUAAAGACGCCUGAUGUCGGGACGGUGAAGGCACGUCUACAAGAUAAUGUGGUGUAAACAGAUGGUAAACGUAAUUUCCGGACACAGAUGCGACUUGCAAGGGUCAAAAUCUUUAAAUUAUGAUCUCUGUGUGCAUGCGAAUAUCUUCAGCCGACUUGUGAAAUGUCCAAACAGCUCCAACUGCUACCUAAGAUAACACGGACGAUAAAGGAAUGAAGGGUAUGUCUGCUUCACUACGAUUGACAAAACUUGCACAUCUACUUUCAAGCUGGUGAAAGCACGACUUCAAGAUGUAAGCUAAAAAAGAAGAUGGUAAUUUCCGGCCACAAGUGUCAAAAUCUUAAAAUUAGGGUCGAAGAGAAAUAUACGUCUCCUUGCGGUAAACCAGAAUACAGCACGGCAUUUCGCUUCAUAUACGUGUUAUUCAAAAGACAACAACAGUUUAAAGCCAAAGGAACUCAAUCUAACAAAUUGUGUCAGUCGUUAGACAUUCAAAAUCAUG